GGUUCAAUCUUUUGUAGACCCGGCUUCGGUCACCUCGCUGCGGGCAUGCGGCGUGGGCGGGAUCCGGCUCGAGGGCUCGUGCGGCGUCGGAGCUGGAACGCUGGGCGGCCGCUGGCCUAGGAGCGGCCUCUACUCACGGCAGCACGGGACGAGGGAGAGGAGAAGGAGACAGAGGAGAGUGGAGCGAGUAGUGGGCUAGAGAGACAGGGGUCCUUCUUAUCCUCGUACGGUACCGGAGCCUAGGCGCGGCGGCAGCAGCAUCUUGCAGCAGGCGGUGGCCAAGAGCCUGGUGUCAAUGACCUAGUUCAACGGGGCAGAGGCUAGAUGGAGCAGUAGCCCGUACGUGUCUCUGCCGAUACCGGUAGGCUAAGAGCUCGCGGCGGCCGGUUCCACCGGCGGGCACCGGCGGACUACGUGCUCGCGGCGGCCGGUUCCUGGGCGGACGCAGGUCUUGGGGAGGUGCGUAGUACAAAAGAUACCAAAACAAAAGGGGCGGAGGUAGAGAAGGUACUGUUCGUCGUGUUAAAAGAAACAAACAUUUAAUUCGUCAGACCAUCUGAACCUUUCUUUCCUUAACGUCUAAAGUUUUCCUCCUUGUCCCAUAUAUGUAGCCGUAUUCUAAACCUUUCCUCCUUGUCCCGCGGCCUCUGUCUCCCUAGGCCACGUCUGAGCUACGGGAGGUGGCUUUGGGGAUGAGUUAACGAAGAGCACGAGCUUAAACUGUGUCCGCGGUAGCGUCGAUCCCUGCGACUACACCUCCGGCCUCUGUCUCCCUAGAGCACAAGUACCUCCGGCGGUUGUGUACCCGGCACCUGUGUAGCAUCACAAGGAAGGUCCCGAGGUCUGCACCUACCCGCACCUAAAGAGGGUCCGCUAGCAGCUGUCUCGAACGAGGUCCUCGAGAUCCGCGACGCUCUAUGAGGGUUAACACGCGGGAUAAUAAGUUCCUUCACUGUCGGUGACCUUCGUGCCUAGCUGUUUAAUCUGUCAUCUGGGUCCGGUACCUAGCCAACUAAGUUGUGGCUUCCUUCUCCGUUAUCCAAUAUUUUUGCUCGACCCCCUAAAAAUGACCGGACUUAGAAUUUGUACCGGCGGGACGACUACCUGAGUUCGAGGUCGACAGUCUUCAGAUGCCUGUCAGUUCAUUAUCUAUGCUUGGGAACUAACUUCCUCUUGAGACACGUGAAGACUAUCGUAGGCCUGGCAUUUAGACAUCGUCCAGGAGUUGCUUAGUAAGGUUCCGUAUGUACAUCGUCCAGGACUUGUAUAGUAGGUCUGGUACAAAGUGUGCAGCACACGAAUACAUUAAGCCAAAAAUGUUAUGUAGAAAAAACUAGUUAUUCGUAGAUGUAACAAGAACAUUAGAUUAAUUUCCGGUUGAUAAAGAGACCGUAUACCACUUAACUGGUACCUUCCUAAACAGAACGAUUCG
rnacentral:rRNA from 1 species